rnacentral:antisense_RNA from 1 species
GGGGUGCAGCGUGUUGAUAUCUGCAAAUCCCCAACCUCCAGGCAA